CCAAGUUUUGCCAAACCCAUUAAAUGAAAGCAACUAAACAGGACGACAGCUCCUCCACUCCACUUUUGAAGAGCAGCCAGCGUUUUUUAUGGCUUUCCAAAGCCAUAUCAUUUUCCUUCUCCCUCCCUUUCAGUUACUACUGAUUUCAAAUUUCAAAUUCUCCCCAAAAUUCUCUCUCCAUCGCCUUUCAGUUUCUUCAACCCUUUCUCUGUUCCUUUUUCUUUUGCAAGUGAUUUAACUUGCUGCCCUCCUAGAUCUGGUUAUUUGGUUCAAUUAAAUUAUUAAUUUGUUGUGAUAGUGUUUUUGUGUUAAGCUUUCAAACAAAUAUUGAUAUUUAAUGGUGUUAUCCAAAAUAUUUUUGGAUUCAGUUUUAUAUGAAAACAAGUGUUGUUGGAUUCUGAUUCAUGGAUUUCUAUACCACAACUGACAGAGUAUUCUCUUAGACUAACAAUAUUAACUGGAAUCUGUUUAUCAUCACAUUUAUUGUUCAUUAUGAUAAUUACUUCCUCCCCAUUUCAGAAGAAUAUUAUUUAAUGAGUUUCUAUUUCAGUUUAGUUUUUGACUUUCUAAUUGUUUGAUCAUCUUUCCUUAUAUUUGUUAAUCAUUAGUGGAAAAUCUGGAGAUACAAAGACAUCAAAUCAGAUCAAGAGCAAGUGUAAUUCUACAUGAAAACUACUUUAAUGCGUGAACCUGAAUACCGGCCAGCUAUGUCUGAAAUUGUUCAGGAUCUCUUGCUAACGAUGUAAAAGGAUGCGACUAUCAUGAACUCCCUUACCUUAGUCAGCCUAGUUUUGUUCCCAACUUUUCUGGCCUUUACCUAUCUAUUCUUCAUUAAUUUGGUGUGAGAUCUUAAUCUUUUUUUAUUAGGUUACUUAAGCAGAAAUUCUGCUUACUAAUGUAAUUAUUGACAGGAAUUAUGUGGGGUAGUUUUAUGCAUCAUUAUUCAUUAUUGAUGCUAGUAAGUCAAAGAUGGCAUGCCUCAGUUCAUAAUAUUGGGUCAAUGUUGGCUUCGAUCAUUUAUAAACGGCUCCAGAAAUAACUUUUGUAGAAAAAUUCUCAUUCAA